rnacentral:rRNA from 1 species
UACCUAUCGGUAAGGAACAACAGUUGGAAACGACUGCUAAUACCUUAUACGCCCUUUUGGGGAAAGAUUUAUCGCCGAUAGAUCGGCCCGCGUUAGAUUAGCUAGUUGGUAGGGUAAUGGCCUACCAAGGCGACGAUCUAUAGCUGGUCUGAGAGGAUGAUCAGCCACACUGGGACUGAGACACGGCCCAGACUCCUACGGGAGGCAGCAGUGGGGAAUAUUGGACAAUGGGGGCAACCCUGAUCCAGCCAUGCCGCGUGAGUGAUGAAGGCCUUAGGGUUGUAAAGCUCUUUCGCUAGGGAAGAUAAUGACGGUAGCAGGUAAAGAAACCCCGGCUAACUCCGUGCCAGCAGCCGCGGUAAUACGGAGGGGGUUAGCGUUGUUCGGAAUUACUGGGCGUAAAGCGCGCGUAGGGGACAAUUAAGUCAGGGGUGAAAUCCCGGGGCUCAACCCCGAACUGCCUUUGAUACUGGUUGUCUUGAGUUCGAGAGAGGUGAGUGGAAUUCCGAGUGUAGAGGUGAAAUUCGUAGAUAUUCGGAGGAACACCAGUGGCGAGGGCGGCUCACUGGCUCGAUACUGACGCUGAGGUGCGAAAGUGUGGGGAGCAAACAGGAUUAGAUACCCUGGUAGUCCACACCGUAAACGAUGA